rnacentral:rRNA from 1 species
GACGAACGCUGGCGGCGUGCUUAACACAUGCAAGUCGAACGAAGUGGCGAACGGGUGAGUAACGCGUAAUCAACUUGCCCUUCAGAGGGGGACAACAGUUGGAAACGACUGCUAAUACAGCAUACUGAAGGAGGGGAUUGCGUCUGAUUGGCUAGCUGGAGGGGGAACGGCCCACCAAGGCGAUGAUCAGUAGCCGGUCUGGUAGGAUGAACGGCCACAUUGGGACUGAGACACGGCCCAGACUCCUACGGGAGGCAGCAGUGGGGAAUCUUCCGCAAUGGACGAAAGUCUGACGGAGCAACGCCGCGUGAGUGAUGACGGCCUUCGGGUUGUAAAGCUCUGUUAAUCGGGACGCGGUACCGGAAUAGAAAGCCACGGCUAACUACGUGCCAGCAGCCGCGGUAAUAC